UACGUAGGGACCAAGCGUUGUUCGGAUUUACUGGGCGUAAAGGGCGCGUAGGCGGCAAUUCAAGUCAUCUGUGAAAUCUCCGGGCUUAACUCGGAACGGUCAGAUGAUACUGCUUUGCUAGAGUGCGGAAGGGGCAAUCGGAAUUCUUGGUGUAGCGGUGAAAUGCGUAGAUAUCAAGAGGAACACCUGAGGUGAAGACGGGUUGCUGGGCCGACACUGACGCUGAGUGCGCGAAAGCAUGGGGAGCGAACAGG
rnacentral:rRNA from 1 species